rnacentral:sRNA from 1 species
CACCCCACGGUGAAGAUAAGCUAAUAGGGAGCGGGUGAGUACACCUCACGAGAGGCGCUGGAAAGCCCGUGCUGCUAAAAGGAG